rnacentral:rRNA from 1 species
CCUACGGGUGGCAGCAGUGAGGAAUAUUGGUCAAUGGGCGCGAGCCUGAACCAGCCAAGUAGCGUGAAGGAUGACAGCCCUACGGGUUGUAAACCUCUUUUGUCAGGGAGCAAUUGGCGCUACGUGUAGCGUUAUCGAGAAUACCUGAAGAAAACGCAUCGGCUAACUCCGUGCCAGCAGCCGCGGGAAUACGGAGGAUGCGAGCGGUAUCCGGAUUUAUUGGGUUUAAAGGGUGCGUAGGCGGCAUGCCAAGUCAGCGGUAAAAUCGCGGGGCUCAACCCUCCUCCGCCGUUGAAACUGGCGUUCUUGAGUGGGCGAGAAGUAUGCGGAAUGCGUGGUGUAGCGGUGAAAUGCAUAGAUAUCACGCAGAACUCCGAUUGCGAAGGCAGCAUACCGGCGCCCAACUGACGCUGAGGCACGAAAGCGUGGGGAUCGAACAGGAUUAGAUACCCCUGUAGUC